GCCAGCGUGGUGUAAUGGUUUUGUGUCGGACUAUGACUCUGGAGACCAGGGUUCGAUUCCCAGCUCAGCCA